rnacentral:rRNA from 1 species
GACGUAGGGUGCGAGCGUUGUCCGGAUUUAUUGGGCGUAAAGAGCUCGUAGGCGGCUCGUCGCGUCGACCGUGAAAACCCGCGGCUUAACUGCGGGCUUGCGGUUGAUACGGGCGGGCUAGAGUUCGGUAGGGGAGACUGGAAUUCCUGGUGUAGCGGUGAAAUGCGCAGAUAUCAGGAGGAACACCGGUGGCGAAGGCGGGUCUCUGGGCCGAUACUGACGCUGAGGAGCGAAAGCGUGGGGAGUGAACAGG